rnacentral:rRNA from 1 species
UACGUAGGGGGCAAGCGUUGUCCGGAAUUAUUGGGCGUAAAGAGCUCGUAGGCGGCCUGUUGCGUCCGCUGUGAAAGCCCGGGGCUUAACCCCGGGUCGGCAGUGGAUACGGGCAGGCUAGAGGUAGGUAGGGGAGAAUGGAAUUCCCGGUGUAGCGGUGAAAUGCGCAGAUAUCGGGAGGAACACCGGUGGCGAAGGCGGUUCUCUGGGCCUUACCUGACGCUGAGGAGCGAAAGCAUGGGGAGCGAACAGG